rnacentral:rRNA from 1 species
AUAACGACUCUCGGCAACGGAUAUCUCGGCUCUCGCAUCGAUGAAGAACGUAGCGAAAUGCGAUACUUGGUGUGAAUUGCAGAAUCCCGUGAACCAUCGAGUCUUUGAACGCAAGUUGCGCCCUAAGCCUCUGGCCGAGGGCACGUCUGCCUGGGU